ensembl:lncRNA
GGCUGAACCUGGGAAGAGGGGAACUGGGAGGUUGGGGUCACAGCCAGGCCAGGCAUCCAAUCCCCACCAGGACCUGUCAGAGCCAAAGGGGCCCAAGGUCACCUCCCCCACCUAGGUCCCCGCCUCAAGCCACAGGGCACAGGACUAACAGCCCCUGCCUGGCCCAGCUAUUCCAGGCAACUGUCAGGGCUUCCGCAGUGAGUCUGCAGGGGAGGGUUCCCCAAGACUGCUACAUCUCUGGAGGACAGCCUGGUCUGCAGCCUGCCCUGCUGCGCUGCACCCCUCCCCCACCACAGCCUUCUCCUGCCUCCCUGCAGUUAGGCUGGAGCUGGCCUUGCCAUCCAGAGACCCUGGAAGGUGCCUGGACAACCAUAGUGAGGGAGACUCCCCUUCCUGCUCUUUGCCUCGCCUGGAACAGCACAGAGAGAUCUGGGUCCAGACAGCUGAGAUGAGUCCCUCCUCUCCCUGAUGUGAGGUUACAGCACUGUGCCCAGACGGGCAUCCAUCGACUCCAGGGCACGGUGCCAGGUGGCCCCUCCUCCCAGCCCACCUGCACCCUGGAGCUACGGCACAAACAGGAAGCAGACGGUUUGAGGGACAGCUGUGGUAAGCCUGAGGGUCUGUGGGGUUGUGGGGCACACACACCCUGGGUGUUUGGGGUGUUGGCAGAGAUGCCUACUGGGCACAGCUGAGGCCAAGGUUCAGCUCAGGAGCUCCUAGGCAGAAAGCCACCAGGGGAGGCAAAUUCGAUUCACGGGGGAAACUGAGGCUGUGUAGGGUGGCCAUGGGUGACAGACGUGCAGAGAGCCCAGGCUGCUCUGAGGCCUGCUGCAGAGGC